GGUUUCAGGGACAGCAGGUGUGGCUGCUUCAGACUAGCUUGGGCUCCGCAGCUGCCCGGAGGGUCUCUGCAGUGACCAACCCCUUCUUCUCCAGUACACUACGCCAGCCGGCUGGAGCAACCAGCAAUGGCUUCCUGGAUGGCCUCUCAACGACCAAUCAAGGGAAUCCUGAAGAACAAGACCUCAGCGUCAUCCCCGGUAGUGGCCUCAGCUGAACAGUCCAGCCUGACCUUCAAAAAGCUGAAUAAGAAGUCCCAGACCUGGGAUGAAGCUAACAUCUUAUCAACUUAUCCACCUGAGGAAGACUACGGACUGAUGAAAACAAGUGCGCCAAAUACUCUAUACCACAAUUCGACGGCUUAUGAUAAAGAUGCUGCUUGUGUUUCAGAAUGCCAUGAAAUGAUGAGUCCCGAUUUCUUAGAGAAGAAAAUCACUGUUGAUGAAGAUUCUGGGCCAAGCGAUAUGGAACUUGAAGAAGAAGGUGGUAGAGAGGAAGAAAAUUACCUCUCCCCUCAAGAAAAGAAGCGGCAGUUUGAAAUGAAAAGGAAGCUUCACAGCAACGAAGGACUAAAUAUUAAAUUAGCCAGACUGCUAAUUUCAAAAGACCUACAUGAUGAUGAAGAUGAAGAAAUGUCAGAGGCUACAGACUUUGACAACAUCAAUAUUGACUAGUCGAAUCUUGGAUCUACCGAACGUGACCAUCUGCAACCGAAAUCACAAAGUUCGUAAAAGUAAUGUGUUCAGCCUAACAGUCAUUUGUCAAAUACAAACAUCAUUACUGUA